GCCCUGGGGUACGGGCGAGUGAAAGGAACGAGUUCAGCGCUGAAUCCUUUAGCCUCUGGUUAAAGGACCUGUGGCGUGAAGGAGAGCCUAUCUGUCGGGUUCUAUACCUCGGAAGCUCCCUCGAAUGGGACCCCAAAGCAGGUGCGAGGCCUGUAACGAGGUGACGCCUGACAGUUUGCGCCUCCGUAGAGUCGGGUUACUUGAGAGUGUAGCCCUAAGUUGAAGGUAAACCCCUUCUAAAACUAAAUACGACCACGAGACCGAUAGCGAACAAGUACCGCGAGGGAAAGUUGAAAAGAACUUUGAAGAGAGAGUUCAAAAGGGCGUGAAACCGCUUAGAAGAAAACGGACGGAGCCGUCAGGAGCCUUCGGGAAUCAGUCUUACGAUUCGCGAACGUGCCCGGGUACCAGAACGUGAGUCUGGCCAGGGUUCUAUUAGUAGCGAUCGCGCGACGCAUUUCUCGAGGGUAAGCACUGCGACCGAUACGAAAGGCUGACGAAGCGAUUGGAUUGAGGUCGAGUCCUUUCGGGGAUUCGUUACCAGUCUUUUCGCCUGAAUCGUCAGACCGCAGUAUGUAUCGAGUGCCUAGAAUAUACGUCGGCGUAAAUCGCUCGUCGGAGUGACGGAUAGUCGAUUAAUUAGUUGGUACCUGCUCGCAGGGACUAGCGAAUUUAGUUGACUCAGAAGUUACCGGCGACGAAUAGACGUAUUGGCGUCGGCAGUGUCAGUGUCGGCCACCCGUCCGACCCGUCUUGAAACACGGACCAAGGAGUCUAACAUAUGCGCAAGCCAAUGGGUGGAAAACCCAAAGGCGCAAUAAAAGUAAACGCUGUUUCGGACAGCUAAGAUACGAUCCUAGACUCUGUCUAGGCGCAGUAUCGUCCCGUCUCGACCGCAUGUCGGUAGGGCGGAGAUAGAGUGCAUACGUUGGGACCCGAAAGAUGGUGAACUAUGCCUGAGCAGAGCGAAGCCAGAGGAAACUCUGGUGGAGGUUCGUAGCGGUUCUGACGUGCAAAUCGAUCGUCAGACUUGGGUAUAGGGCGAAAGACCUUUCGCC
rnacentral:rRNA from 1 species